GACGAACGCUGGCGGCGUGCCUAAUACAUGCAAGUCGAACGCUUUUUCUUUCACCGGAGCUUGCUCCACCGAAAGAAAAAGAGUGGCGAACGGGUGAGUAACACGUGGGUAACCUGCCCAUCAGAAGGGGAUAACACUUGGAAACAGGUGCUAAUACCGUAUAACACUAUUUUCCGCAUGGAAGAAAGUCGAAAGGCGCUUUUGCGUCACUGAUGGAUGGACCAGCGGUGCAUUAGCUAGUUGGUGAGGUAACGGCUCACCAAGGCAACGAUGCAUAGCCGACCUGAGAGGGUGAUCGGCCACACUGGGACUGAGACACGGCCCAGACUCCUACGGGAGGUAGCAGUAGGGAAUCUUCGGCAAUGGACGAAAGUCUGACCGAGCAACGCCGCGUGAGUGAAGAAGGUUUUCGGAUCGUAAAACUCUGUUGUUAGAGAAGAACAAGGAUGAGAGUAAAACGUUCAUCCCUUGACGGUAUCUAACCAGAAAGCCACGGCUAACUACGUGCCAGCAGCCGCCGUAA
rnacentral:rRNA from 1 species